rnacentral:lncRNA from 1 species
AAAAAAAAUAUAUAUGUAUUCCCAGGCCAAAUACAGGCCAGACACUCUUGACACAGUACAAAUGUCACAUUUAAUAGGGCUAUUCUAUUAAAAUGUAUGUGGGAGGGAAGGAAGUGACUUUCGAAAUAUUCCUACAAUCAAGAACCAUUUUAUAGAUAAUUUUGCCUAAGGGUAAUAGAUGCAUAAUAAAAAAAAAGACCCAUGACCCAAAUAUAAU